rnacentral:rRNA from 1 species
ACUCCUACGGGAGGCAGCAGUGAGGAAUAUUGGACAAUGGGCGGGAGCCUGAUCCAGCCAUGCCGCGUGCAGGAAGACUGCCCUAUGGGUUGUAAAACUGCUUUUUGUACAGGAAAGAAAACACUCCCCUCGUGAGGGGAGCUUUGACGGUACUGUAAGAAUAAGGAUCGGCUAACUCCGUGCCAGCAGCCGCGGUAAUACGGAGGAUCCAAGCGUUAUCCGGGAAAGUCAUUGGGUUUAAAGGGUCCGUAGGUGGAUGAUUAAGUCAGAGGUGAAAUCCUGCAGCUCAACUGUAGAAUUGCCUUUGAUACUGGUUGUCUUGAAUUAUUGUGAAGUA